AUUGAACGCUGGCGGCAUGCUUUACACAUGCAAGUCGAACGGUAACAGGCCGCAUUGUUCUGACGAGUUUCGAACGGGUGAGUAAUGCAUCGGAACGUGCCCAGUCCUGUGGGAUAACUACUCGUUAGAGUAGCUAAUACCGCAUACGAUCUAUGUAUUAAAGCGGUGGACCGUAAUGCCUCGCUCGAUUUUAGCGGCCCAUUUCAGAUUAGUUAGUUGGUUGGGUAAAGGCUCACCAAGCCAACGAUCUGUAGUUGUUCUGAGAGGACGACCAGCCACACUGGGACUGAGACACGGCCCAGACUCCUACGGGAGGCAGCAGUGGGGAAUUUUGGACAAUGGGCGAAAGCCUGAUCCAGCAAUGCCGCGUGAAGGAAGAAGGCCUUCGGGUUGUAAACUGCUUUUGUACGGAACGAAAAGGAUCUGGUUAAUACACGGGGGUAAUGACGGUACCGAAAGAAUAAGCAACGGCUAACUACGUG
rnacentral:rRNA from 1 species